UAAAGGUUGCGUACUUGGGAUUAGACUCUGAUAAAUGUAAGUUAAGUUUAUAAUUUAUAUUAUUGUUAUUAUUAUUAGUAUUAUUCCGCUCAUAGAAAUGGUAUCGUAAAGUACCGAGUUUGGGUUUCAAGUAUCCGUAUUCGGGGACUCUACAACUACUGGUUGUCAUUUAUCGAAUCACAUAAGAUAUUUCUCUUCUUUUACUAGAAGUGGUAGAUUCUUUAUUGAUCAUACAUUAUCUCUAUGUACAACUUAUUAUACCCAAACAUACCCUUUAAUAUACCUUAAGGGUCUUAAGAAAUAAGUCAAAGUAUAACUCAUCAUACACAAGAUACUAUGAUGAUAUCAAGUCCAAGGAUCACUUGUACUACUAUCACUACAAGAAUUCCUAUUGACAGGCAAAUAAAACUCCAGACUACAAAAAAAUGGG
rnacentral:lncRNA from 1 species